AUGAACGCUGGCGGCGUGCCUAAUACAUGCAAGUCGAGCGCACAGACGAGGAGCUUGCUCCUCUUACGUUAGCGGCGGACUGGUGAGUAACACGUGGCUAACCUACCUAUAAGACUGGGAUAACUUCGGUAAACCGGAGCUAAUACCGGAUACUAUAUUGAACCGCAUGGUUCCAUAGUGAAAGCCGGUUUUGCUGUCACUUAUAGAUGGAUCCGCGCCGCAUUAGCUAGUUGGUAAGGUAACGGCCUACCAAGGCAACGAUGCGUAGCCGACCUGAGAGGGUGAUCGGCCACACGGGAACUGAGACACGGUCCAGACUCCUACGGGAGGCAGCAGUAGGGAAUCUUCAGCAAUGGGCGAAAGCGUGACGGAGCAACGCCGCGUGAGUGAUGAAGGUCUUCGGAUCGUAAAACUCUGUUAUUAGGGAAGAACAAAUGUGUAAGUAACUAUGCACGUCUUGACGGUACCUAAUCAGAAAGCCACGGCUAACUACGUG
rnacentral:rRNA from 1 species